AGAGUUUGAUCAUGGCUCAGGAUGAACGCUAGCUACAGGCUUAACACAUGCAAGUCGAGGGGAAACGACAUCGAAAGCUUGCUUUUGAUGGGCGUCGACCGGCGCACGGGUGAGUAACGCGUAUCCAACCUGCCCACCACUUGGGGAUAACCCUUGCGAAAGUAAGACUAAUACCCAAUGACGUCUCUAGAAGACAUCUGAAAGGGAUUAAAGAUUUAUCGGUGAUGGAUGGGGAUGCGUCUGAUUAGCUUGUUGGCGGGGUAACGGCCCACCAAGGCUACGAUCAGUAGGGGUUCUGAGAGGAAGGUCCCCCANAUUGGAACUGAGACACGGUCCAAACUCCUACGGGAGGCA
rnacentral:rRNA from 1 species